UCUCCCGGUCCCGCGGCGCGGCCAUGCCGCCGCCCGCCGUACCUGGUGGUGGUUAUAGGAGUUCCUCUGCUGCAGGAAGGCGGCGGCCGCCGCCUGGUGCUGCUGCUGGAGCUGCGGGCUGACGGGCGACCUCCGGCUCUGAGGCUGCUGCGGCGCCGCGGGCGGCGGGGGCUGCUGUUGAGGCGCUGGUAGGGGUGCUGUCACCGACAUCCUAUAGCCGCCGAGGGUGUUUCUAUAGGGUAAACAUGAAGCCUCGGAUCCCCGGCUGUAUUCCAGACAUUUUCACUUGGAGGUGGUGCCUUGCGUUGUUGCCGGGCUGGUCUUGAAUUCCUGGCUUCAAGUGAUCCUCCUGCCUUGACCUCCCAACGUGCUGGAAUUAUAGAUGUGAGCCACUGCAUCCUGUCCAUAGUGUUCUCUUCUAAGCCCUUUUAUUUCUAUGAGGUUUGCAACCUCAUUUUUGGAGCCUAAAACACUCAUUUGCUCACAUGGAUCUGGAAUGACUUUGUUUUACAAUGCAUUUCCUUGUCUUCAGAGUCAACUAAAACACAACCAUUGAGGUCCAUCCCCAGUUAUGGAACAGGAGUCUCCCUGCACAAGCUCCCUCUUUGCUUGCCGCCAUCCAUGUAAGACGUGAC